ensembl:snoRNA
GGUCUCUUAUGAUGCAUUGCACUGGGCUCUGAAAUAUCUUUGGCGAUAACGUGCUGCUCUGCUACUGACAUGGCAGAGUCUGAGGAGACU